GCAGGGUGCAGUGGCACACACCUGUAAUCCCAGUGGCUGGGAGGCUGAGGCAGGAGGAUUGAGAGUUCAAAGCCAGCCUUAGCAAAAGUGAGGCAUUAAGCAACCUCAGUGAGACCCUGUCUCUA
rnacentral:sRNA from 1 species